GAUCCUGGCUCAGGAUGAACGCUAGCUACAGGCUUAACACAUGCAAGUCGAGGGGAAUCAGAAAGAAAGCUUGCUUUCUUUGCUGGCGACCGGCGCACGGGUGAGUAACACGUAUCCAACCUGCCCUUUACUCGGGGAUAGCCUUUCGAAAGAAAGAUUAAUACCCGAUGGGAUAAUGAUUCCGCAUGGUUUCAUUAUUAAAGGAUUCCGGUAAAGGAUGGGGAUGCGUUCCAUUAGGUUGUUGGUGAGGUAACGGCU
rnacentral:rRNA from 1 species